AAUCUUGGACAAUGGGGGAAACCCUGAUCCAGCCAUCCCGCGUGUAGGAUGAAGGCCUUCGGGUUGUAAAGUAUGUUUUGCAGAGAAGAAAAGAUAUCUCCUAAUACGAGAUACUGCUGACGGUAUCUGCAGAAUAAGUACCGGCUAACUACGUGCCAGCAGCCGCGGUAAUACGUAGGGUGGAAUCGUUAAUCGGAAUUACUGGGCGUAAAGCGUGUGUAGGCGGUUCGGAAAGAAAGAUGUGAAAUCCCAGGGCUCAACCUUGGAACUGCAUUUUUAACUGCCGAGCUAGAGUAUGUCAGAGGGGGGUAGAAUUCCACGUGUAGCAGUGAAAUGCGUAGAUAUGUGGAAGAAUACCGAUGGCGAAGGCAGCCCCCUGGGAUAAUACUGACGCUCAGACACGAAAGCGUGGGGAGCAAAC
rnacentral:rRNA from 1 species